rnacentral:rRNA from 1 species
UACGGGGGGGGCAAGCGUUGUUCGGAAUUACUGGGCGUAAAGGGCUCGUAGGCGGCCAACCAAGUCGGAUGUGAAAUCCCCAGGCUCAACCUGGGAACUGCAUCCGAUACUGGAUGGCUUGAAUCCGGGAGAGGGAUGCAGAAUUCCAGGUGUAGCGGUGAAAUGCGUAGAUAUCGGAAGGAACAUCAGUGGCGAAAGCGACUUCCUGGACCAGUACCGACGUUCAGGCACGAAAGCGUGGGGAGCAAACAGG